rnacentral:rRNA from 1 species
GACGAACGCUGGCGGCGUGCUUAACACAUGCAAGUCGAACGGAAAGGCCCCCACCUUGGUGGGGGUGCUCGAGUGGCGAACGGGUGAGUAACACGUGGGUGAUCUGCCCUGUACUUCGGGAUAAGCUUGGGAAACUGGGUCUAAUACCGGAGAGGACCAUGGUUCAGUGUCUCAUGGUGGAAAAAUUAUUGUUUUGGUGCAGGAUGAGCGCGCGGCCUAUCGGCUUGUGGGUGGGGUAAUGGCCUACCAAGGCGUCGGCGGGUAGCCGGCCUGAGGGGGUGGCCGGCCACGUUGGGACUGGGCUACGUCGCAGACUCCUUCGGGAGGCAGCAGCGGCGAGUGUUGCACAAGGGGCGCAAGCCUGAUGCGGCGGCGCCGCGUGGGGGCUGCCGGCCUUCGGGUUGUAAGCUCCUUUCGUUAGGAACGACGCCACACCUUUUUUGGGUGUGGUGACGGUACCUUUGUUAAGAAGCACCGGCUAACUACGUG